UGCAGUCGAACGGCAGCACGGACUUCGGUCUGGUGGCGAGUGGCGAACGGGUGAGUAAUGUAUCGGAACGUGCCCAGUAGCGGGGGAUAACUACGCGAAAGCGUAGCUAAUACCGCAUACGCCCUACGGGGGAAAGCAGGGGAUCGCAAGACCUUGCACUAUUGGAGCGGCCGAUAUCGGAUUAGCUAGUUGGUGGGGUAACGGCUCACCAAGGCGACGAUCCGUAGCUGGUUUGAGAGGACGACCAGCCACACUGGGACUGAGACACGGCCCAGACUCCUACGGGAGGCAGCAGUGGGGAAUUUUGGACAAUGGGGGAAACCCUGAUCCAGCCAUCCCGCGUGUGCGAUGAAGGCCUUCGGGUUGUAAAGCACUUUUGGCAGGAAAGAAACGUCGUGGGUUAAUACCCCGCGAAACUGACGGUACCUGCAGAAUAAGCACCGGCUAACUACGUGCCAGCA
rnacentral:rRNA from 1 species